UGGAGACUGUAUGGUCAUUUGGCCCGAUUACAACUACAAAUGGGGUGAUCUACCGUGCCACAUACAAGAAAGGUUCAUCUGCGAAAAACAGAUUACUGACGGAGGCCUUGUUGGAUAAUCACCAUGGUGAUAUAUUCAACAGGCGGGACAUAAAAUGUUCUCAUAUUAAAGUGUAAAACCUGGCAAA